rnacentral:rRNA from 1 species
UGCCUACGGGAGGCAGCAGUCGGGAAUAUUGCGCAAUGGAGGAAACUCUGACGCAGUGACGCCGCGUGCAGGAAGAAGGUUUUCGGAUUGUAAACUGCUUUAGACAGGGAAGAAAAAAGACAGUACCUGUAGAAUAAGCUCCGGCUAACUACGUGCCAGCAGCCGCGGUAAUACGUAGGGAGCGAGCGUUAUCCGGAUUUAUUGGGUGUAAAGGGCGUGUAGGCGGGAAAGCAAGUCAGAUGUGAAAACCACGGGCUCAACCUGUGGCCUGCAUUUGAAACUGUUUUUCUUGAGUACUGGAGAGG